GGGCCGGUUUCAGAUUCGAUUGCGGACGGAGAAUGAGAAAAGCAUACCAAAGGCUCGGCUUUGUAAAAACGGAAACUUAAAUUUAAAUGCAGAAUCCAAAGAUUCUAAAGUCGUUUCCUUCCCCUCUUUCAGAGCGGCAGGCAUGGCUUGCGCUGCUUAACUUAUAAGCGGUCCGUCGCCCCUUUUUCACCGUUGGAAAGCGUGCGGCGUUAAUUAAACGGUAAACUCUUAACGCGCUUUACCACGCGCGGUAAGUUUUAUUUAGCGGUAUGCGCCUUUUAAUCCCCGUCCGUCGGGAUUGAAGGGUUAAGCUUAAAGGCGGAAUAAGUAUGUAGAAAGCUCAGACGAAUUCCGUAAGACUCGGGUGCAAGUCCCGACCGGUCCACCA
rnacentral:tmRNA from 1 species